CGCGCCUGAAUUCCUCCGGCGCGUGAAAUCCUGCUCGCAGCGCCUGAAAUCCCCCACGCCCGAUUUCCUUCCCCUCCCAGAACCUUCCAUCGACGCUACGCCAUGAUCCCCUCCACCGGCCAGGAUGGCACCCGACAUCACCCCCUCGCAGCACCUUCAACCCGACAUCUCCACCCCCACGACCAGCAGGCCAGGCGUGGAUCUCGCCCCCACGCCCGGUGAUGGCGCCCAUGCUCCGCCCCCAUACCCAGCGGGCAGCCACGGAUCUCGCUGGGCGAGGAUCUCGCGGAUCACGCUGGAACUGUCGCUCCCAAUCUCUGCAUCGCGUGGACGCCUUCCAUGGAGUCUCUGUACAUAUGCCAGCGCCCGUCCCUCACCCCUGAUCUGCCACUCCCAAUAUCUCCACCCCCACCGCGACGACGAUGCGCAACCCUCGGCCACCACGCUGCCAGCGCCCGUCCCUCACCCCGCACGCUGUGAUCGGACUGCCGCGCUUGGCCCCCAGUCCCAUGAGGUUGCUGCCCCUCCCAUGCCCACUAGCCAUGCCACCAUAGAUCCAGCUAGGGCGGCGUCAUUGCGUUCAAUCCUGUGCGAGAGAAUGCAAAAUCGUCAUCAAACUGAUAUUGACCAGAGGUUCCUCCGCCCAGUUGCAUCAGGUAUCGCUGCCAUUUGCAGUGAUUGUGCUCCAGUUCGGUCGUUUGGGGGAAAAGGGAUCGUAUCUGCUGAAUCCUCGGGCUCAAGGGAUGGUUCUCGACAUGGACGGCUACGUAGACCCCUACGAGGAGGUCGUAGCCGAGGAUGACUCUGACAACCCUGACGAGGACGACUCAAAUGCAGAGAGCAACUACAAGGAUAAGUCGUUCGACCUCCUCAAGUUCGACAAGCACCGGGUGCGCAACCCGGAUGACACCUUCUGUGGCCCCUUCUGCCCCCUGCAAGAAGAGCAGGGGUACAAGAGCAAGCAACUCUGUUGUGUUGAAAACACCAGAGCUGAUUAGGAGAAAUGUGGUUGUCAAGGACCCUGCUGAGGUGUCAAGAUCUCAGGAUGCUGCUGAUGUGCGUACUACAGAGGUGGCUCGUGGACCUGCAGUGGUAGUGGUUGCUUCAGGGCAGCGGGCAACAUGGUGGAAUUGUUGUGGCCUUUUGAUGUUUUUAUUGGUUUAGGGAGAUAGAUGAAGGUAUGAGCUUGGCCGCCAGCCUGCUAACACCAAACUGUCUAGCAAUAAGACAGUGAGGAGGGUCCGUGUCCGUGGAGGCAACACGAAGUGGAGGGCUCUUCGAUUCGAUACAUGUAACUACUCGUGGGGAAGUGAGGCUCUUACCCGCAAGACUCGCAUCCUGGAUGUGGUCUAUAUUGCAACAAACAAUGAGCUUGUGAGGACUCAGACUCUUGUGAAGAGCGCCAUUGUACAAGUUGAUGCUGCUCCAUUCAAGCAGUGGUACCUCACUCACUAUGGAGUGGACAUCGGUAGGAAGAAGAAGGUGUCUGUCGCUAAGAAGGAUGACACUAAGGUAUAUUCAUUCAAUUUAAGGUUUAAUGAGGAUUAAGGACUCACCGUUUUUGCACUUUGGAUUUUGUUUGUUCUGUGUUAUGCUGUACUGUACUGUAAUUGGUUUGUGUAACCAUGUAUCGGUACCAGACACCACAACAAGAACAUGUACAAGAGAUUCUUUAGCAUCCAUUGUGUGCAAAAGCUAGGGUUUGUGGCUGCCUUUUAUUUCGUUUUUCCUCCGUUGUCAUAGGAUGGUACACCACAACAAGAACAUGUACAAUUAUGUCA